rnacentral:rRNA from 1 species
UCGAGAAUUUUUCUCAAUGGGGGAAACCCUGAAGGAGCGACGCCGCGUGGAGGAUGAAGGUCUUCGGAUUGUAAACUCCUGUCAUUUGGGAACAAUUGUCAUCCGUUAACUGCGGGUGGCUUGAUAGUACCAGAAGAGGAAGAGACGGCUAACUCUGUGCCAGCAGCCGCGGUAAUACAGAGGUCUCAAGCGUUGUUCGGAUUCAUUGGGCGUAAAGGGUGCGUAGGUGGCGCCAUAAGUCAGGUGUGAAAUCUCGGAGCUCAACUCCGAAACUGCACUUGAUACUGUGGUGCUGGAGUACUGGAGAGGAGAUUGGAAUUUACGGUGUAGCAGUGAAAUGCGUAGAUAUCGUAAGGAAGACCAGUGGCGAAGGCGAAUCUCUGGACAGUUACUGACACUGAGGCACGAAGGCCAGGGGAGCAAACG